rnacentral:rRNA from 1 species
AGUGAACGCUGGCGGUAGGCCUAACACAUGCAAGUCGAACGGCAGCACAGGAGAGCUUGCUCUCUGGGUGGCGAGUGGCGGACGGGUGAGGAAUACAUCGGAAUCUACCUUGUCGUGGGGGAUAACGUAGGGAAACUUACGCUAAUACCGCAUACGACCUUCGGGUGAAAGUGGGGGACCGCAAGGCCUCACGCGAUUAGAUGAGCCGAUGUCGGAUUAGCUAGUUGGCGGGGUAAAAGCCCACCAAUGCGACGAUCCGUAGCUGGUCUGAGAGGAUGAUCAGCCACACUGGAACUGAGACACGGUCCAGACUCCUACGGGAGGCAGCAGUGGGGAAUAUUGGACAAUGGGCGCAAGCCUGAUCCAGCCAUACCGCGUGGGUGAAGAAGGCCUUCGGGUUGUAAAGCCCUUUUGUUGGGAAAGAAAUCUUGCCGGUUAAUACCUGGCGAGGAUGACGGUACCCAAAGAAUAAGCACCGGCUAACUUCGUGCCAGCCGCCGCCGUAAUAC